ACAUCAUCAAAAAUGGUCAUUUUCAUGUAAUGAACAUAAAUUUUAACACUUUUUUGGUUUUUUUAUCAUCACUGUUGGCCAAAGAGAGAAGAAAGAAUGUGAUGAUAAAACUGGCCAAAAUGUGGAUUACAUAGGAAAGCAUCAGUUAUACUCAGGAUGAUAAGUCUAGAAGGCUAGUUUUCUUGAAAACAGAACACUAUAGUUCUGUAAGAAUGUCUUAUAUUGCCUAAACUGAAUCAAUUCCAAUCAUAUGCAACUUGACUCCAAGUCUUGCCAAACAUCUAGAGAAGUUUUUUAAAACAAAAAAUCUUAAAAAUGCAAUCAUGGCAGCCCUCUCUUGCCCUAGACUAUUUGCCCUUAUCAAGUUACACAAGAACUCAAUAGCAAGCAGAUUGAUCAUUGCCAGAUACACAGCACAGACUUACUUCCUGUAGAAAGCCUUGGCUAAAUGGUGCAAUAACAAUUACAAGACUAUAAACACAUACUGUAAUCCUCUCCACUUAAUUUCUUAAUGAGUUACAUCAUAAAGAUCCCUAACGAGAGAAACUAUUGCAGUCUGUGAUUUAAAAAAUCUUUUCCCCAUCUAUCAAGAUAGAACCAGCAACUCUAUUCAUUUAUGGUUCAUUUUAGAAAAUCUAGAUAACAUAAUUUAAAACAGCAAAUAUCCAUGAACUUUGUGACUUGGGUUGUCAGGCUUUCUAUUUCACCUGUGCAAGACAAUAUUUUAAAUAGUCAGAAGCCAUCUUAAUUGAAGUCCAGUGACUGAAGUAAUUACUGAGCUUUUACUAAAACAUAAAGAAUUUUCCUUAACAUCCUAGAAAGGGAUUUUAUGCUCAACUGAGAUAUAUUGAUGACAACUUCCUUGUCACAAAAGAACAGGACAGUUAAGUGACUAAUAGUUAAUAUGACAGAAUUCCUUCAGCACUUGGCUGGAAUUAGAAUAAACUAUCAGCGAAGAAGUGCACUUUCUGGAUUUAAGAUAAUUUCCACUACAACAAAUCAGUAUAAAGAAAGAUGUUCAGGGCUAUUUAUGUCAGAAACACAUUAUAUGAUCCAGAAUAUUUCAAUGUUACUGCUUUCUGUGCCCUCUCUAAGAAACUCUGACAACUGUUCUACAAAAGAGAUAGAAGAAGUAAUGCAAAAAAAUAACAAAGCAAGGAGUCUAGCAUGAUUACUGAGCUGAGAACUUGUUGAGAGUCCUACACUGAGAGAAAAGAAGUAAACUGCCCCAAAUCACAACUGCUGUGCCAGUUUGUGAAAACUGAAUAUAUGGCUCUAAUGUAUUGUACAACAGCUAAAAAUAAGCUAUAGAUUUUUUGGAAAAAUUGAGAGAACAGGGUCAUGUACAAAAGAAACAACACAGUUUUCCAGCAUCAAAGAAAUAAUAAGCCACCUGUUUAAUCCAACAUGAAGAUAAAGUAUGUACCAAAUCCCAAUUAAAAAUCACAGCUUCAAAAUAGAAGGGUACAUUAGGAUAUAUGAAAUGCAAUCUUUGCAUCUGGAUCAAAGAGUAUCAACUGGAUGCUAGAAAGGAUAAAACCAACAGAGCUCUUGGGACAAAAGCAUUGAAACAAGACCUGUGGAUAGACUAGUCAGGAGUCAAAAUAAUACAAAACAGUAGGAGAGGGUAUAUGGGACCUAUAGCAUAAUUCUGUCACAUUACAGAGUGCCAAAACUAAACACAUUAUUAAUCAGAAUGAUUCUGUAGCUGUCUCCAAUACUUUGCUCUGGUCCUUUCAAUUAUAGAUAAAUCACUUUCAUGUAUUUUUCACAUGACAUAAACUAUCAGGUCAUUCUAUAAAAUAAUGUUUUUGCACAUGUGAAGAGAAAACAAAAUUUAUCUGGAACAGAUCUUUUAUAACAUUGACUAGUUCACAGACAGCACUAUUCAG
rnacentral:lncRNA from 1 species